rnacentral:lncRNA from 1 species
UCACAUGUGUUCUCCCCACCCCUCUGCACACACGUGUGCACCUGGUUCCCCCCGGGUCAUGUGUGUUCUCCCUCCUCCUCCCCUCCUGCAGGGGGUGGGACUGGCAUGGGGGGGCGUGGCCAGUGGGCGGGGUAGAAAAUGGGGAGGGAUGUGGCUCACUGGGGAGCAGUGCUGCUGUGGGAGGGCGUGGCUGGAUGGCAGUGGGGGUGUGGCCAGCAGGGAGACCUGAGCCAAUGGGGCAUGGCCAGUGGCAGGGGCGUGGCUAAGCAGGGAGGGUCAGUGGCUGGGCAGGAGAGGUGCAGGGAAAGGGGUGGAAAAUGGGGGGUGUGACCAGGUGGGGGCAUGGCCAGGGAAGCAGGCCAAUGGGGUCAUUGCUUGCUGGGGGCAUGUCCAGGGGGCAGGGAGCAAGGGCAGCAGGGGGGGCAAAGGAGGUGGGUUGCUGAGGUGGAGGCGUGGCCAGCACAGGGCAGGCCCAAUCAGGUGGGCCCUGGCUGGCAGAGGGCAUGGCCAAGGGAGUCAGGGGCGUGGCCAGCAGGCAGGGCCAGGCCAGUGCGUGACAGAGGGGGCAGGGUCACCGGCAGGGCCAGCCGAUGGGGAGCAUCCCAGGUGGGGGGGUGCGGCCAGCGGGGCUGGGAGGGAGGGGAGGGUGAGCCAAGAGGGCAGAUCCUGGCUGGGGAGGGGAGUGGUGGGGAGAGGGGUCAUGGUGCAGCUAGGGAGCAGGGCUCAGUGGGGAGGGGGGCAGGGCUAAGCAGGCAGGGCAUAGCCAGGCAGGGGGCAUGGCUGGGCAGGUGGGGGCAUGGCCAGCAGGGAGGGGGCACGACCACCCACAGCAGCCAGCCCUCUCCCCGCAGGACCCCCAUUGCCUGUAAGGGGGAGUGGUGCGGUUUGGGGGCGUGGCCUCCUCAGGGGGCAUGGCCUAACACGUGCCCCCCUCCCCCCCCCCACGCAGUGGCGUCCUCCUGCGCAGCCUUGCUCUCCGGCAGCGCCUCAGGCGAGGGCAGCCAGGGCCAGAGCGGCCUUGCUGGGCGCCUGCUGAAGCCAGGCCCCAAAAUGCUGCUGAUUUGUCCCAAAAAACCUCN